rnacentral:rRNA from 1 species
ACUCCUACGGGAGGCAGCAGUGAGGAAUACUGGUCAAUGGCCGUAAGGCUGAACCAGCCAAGUAGCGUGCAGGAUGACGGCCCUAUGGGUUGUAAACUGCUUUUAAACGGGGAUAAAGUGAGCCACGUGUGGUUUAUUGCAGGUACCGUUUGAAUAAGGACCGGCUAAUUCCGUGCCAGCAGCCGCGGUAAU